CUACACAUGCAGUCGAGCGGUAGAGAGAAGCUUGCUUCUCUUGAGAGCGGCGGACGGGUGAGUAAUGCCUAGGAAUCUGCCUAGUGGUGGGGGAUAACGUUCGGAAACGGACGCUAAUACCGCAUACGUCCUACGGGAGAAAGCGGGGGACCUUCGGGCCUCGCGCCAUUAGAUGAGCCUAGGUCGGAUUAGCUAGUUGGUGAGGUAAUGGCUCACCAAGGCUACGAUCCGUAACUGGUCUGAGAGGAUGAUCAGUCACACUGGAACUGAGACACGGUCCAGACUCCUACGGGAGGCAGCAGUGGGGAAUAUUGGACAAUGGGCGAAAGCCUGAUCCAGCCAUGCCGCGUGUGUGAAGAAGGUCUUCGGAUUGUAAAGCACUUUAAGUUGGGAGGAAGGGUAGUAACUUAAUACGUUGCUACUUUGACGUUACCGACAGAAUAAGCACCGGCUAACUUCGUGCCAGCAGCCGCGGUAAUACGAAGGGUGCAAGCGUUAAUCGGAAUUACUGGGCGUAAAGCGCGCGUAGGUGGUUCAGUAAGUUGGAUGUGAAAUCCCCGGGCUCAACCUGGGAACUGCAUCC
rnacentral:rRNA from 1 species